rnacentral:lncRNA from 1 species
GACCCACCCGAGGUUCCUGCUGUGUAAGGACUUGUUUGACGACUAUGACCUUUAUUUCUGCAUAAUCCACAAUGCUUUGGUUGGCCAGGCUCCCUAAUAUCCAUCUCUUUGCAAAUCCGAGUUGAUUGUGGACGACCUAUAGGAUCUCUACGCAAUUUUGGAUUCGGAUACAAUUCAGGACCAGUAUGCUUCGUCCAAUACAUUUCGUUCGGGAGCGCUUCAAUCUCAUGUUUAUAAACUUUGAAUAUGGUUGUAAGUUUAUAGACAUUGUCAACAUAUUCAUUGUAAUCAGCAUGAAUAUGAGAACAUACAGCAAUUACAUGCGAGCACGGAUAUCGGUAUGCUUGAAACUUUCUACAACCACACCAC